AUUGAACGCUGGCGGCAUGCUUUACACAUGCAAGUCGAACGGUAACAGGGAGCUUGCUCCGCUGACGAGUGGCGAACGGGUGAGUAAUGCGUCGGAACGUGCCGAGUAGUGGGGGAUAACGCAUCGAAAGGUGUGCUAAUACCGCAUACGAACUGAGGUUGAAAGUGGGGGACCUUCGGGCCUCACGCUAUUCGAGCGGCCGACGUCUGAUUAGCUAGUUGGUGAGGUAAAGGCUCACCAAGGCGACGAUCAGUAGCGGGUCUGAGAGGAUGCUCCGCCACACUGGGACUGAGACACGGCCCAGACUCCUCCGGGAGGCAGCAGUGGGGCAUUUUGGACAAUGGGCCCAAGCCUGAUCCAGCCAUGCCGCGUGUCUGAAGAAGGCCUUCGGGUUGUAAAGGACUUUUGUCCGGGAGCAAAUGCUGGUGGCUAACAUCCACCGGAGCUGAGAGUACCGGAAGAAUAAGCACCGGCUAACUACGUGCCAGCCGCCGCCGUAAUAC
rnacentral:rRNA from 1 species